CUUAUCUCUGUUCCCUUCCAAAAGCCACAUAAAUGAUGAGAGUAAGGAAUAAACAAAGAUACAAAGUGGAUAAGAGAGUACACCUCUGUCGGUGAACGGUCUCAGGAAAUUUUUGGAAGAUCGAAGGCCAGUAAACUGAGAUGAUCUUGAUGUGAGAUUACAAGGCAAAGCUGAGGGCCAUGGUGAUACAUUCACAUGGAAAAUCUCCUUCCCAUUCUUGUGUCCUCAUCUGCAAAGACACCCACUCCGCAUGCCUUAGGAUCUUAGCUCCCCGACCAGGGAUUGAACUGAGACCACUGCAGUGAAAGAAGCACAGAGUCCUAACCACUGGAUCGCCAGGCAA